UCAGACGAUGCGUCAUGCAUAUCAAUAAGUGGAGGAAAAGAAACUAACUAAGGAUUCCCUCAGUAACGGCGAGUGAAGCGGGAAGAGCUCAAAUUUGAAAUCUUCAAGGUUUUACCUUGACGAAUUGUAGUUUAAAGAAGUGUUUUCUGUUGAAGUUUUGGUAAAAGUUCUUUGGAAUAGGACAUCAUAGAGGGUGAGGAAUCCCGUAUUUGACCAUUAUUUUCAGCUGUGUGAUACACUUUCAAAGAGUCGGAUUGUUUGGGAAUGCAGUCCAAAAUGGGUGGUAAAUUUCAUCUAAAGCUAAAUAUUGGCGAGAGACCGAUAGCGAACAAGUACCGUGAGGGAAAGAUGAAAAGAACUUUGAAAAGAGAGUUAAACAGUACGUGAAAUUGUCAAAAGGGAAGCGUUUGACACCAGGUGUUGUUUUUCCGAAAAUCAAUUAAAAAUGGAUUCAUGCCAAGUUGUAUUGACCUUAUCAGCUUGCAAUUUGGUUUUGGGUUCUUUUUUGAUGCACUUUUCGGUUAACAAGUCAACAUCAAUUUCCUUUGCUGUAAAAGGGCAGAAGGAAGGUGGCUUCAAUUUCGGUUGAAGUGUUUAUAGCCUUUUGUCUCUGCAGUCGGGGAGAUUGAGGUCUGCAGCGUAGAUCCUUCGGGGUUAGAUACAUUCGUGCUAAGUUAUAGCCUUUUAUAGACAACUUGUUGACUAUGAUCGGUCUUGUAAUUUACUCGCGAGUGCUACUUUACCUACGCUUAGGAUGUUGAUAUGCAUGACUGAUAU
rnacentral:rRNA from 1 species